AGAACUCGAGACUACAAAAAAAAACAAGUCGAUAUUAACAACAAAUAUCACACAAGUCAAGCACUAGAACAUACCACUUCUAGCUCAUACCAGGCAUCAUACUGCCGAAGAGCUGCAGGGAUCACUGGUACUCCCUGGUAGUUCCUGAAGAACUUGGCCAGCAGCGCCUCUACAUCAUCAUCGGAUAUAUCCUCAUCAGACAUACGCGAUGGAUCAUUAAGACCUGUGUACUCACUCCUCGAGUGAGCACGUUUCUGAAGUGGCUGGACUCUUCU
rnacentral:lncRNA from 1 species